AUUGAACGCUGGCGGCAUGCCUUACACAUGCAAGUCGAACGGCAGCACGGGUGCUUGCACCUGGUGGCGAGUGGCGAACGGGUGAGUAAUACAUCGGAACAUGUCCUGUAGUGGGGGAUAGCCCGGCGAAAGCCGGAUUAAUACCGCAUACGAUCUACGGAUGAAAGCGGGGGACCUUCGGGCCUCGCGCUAUAGGGUUGGCCGAUGGCUGAUUAGCUAGUUGGUGGGGUAAAGGCCUACCAAGGCGACGAUCAGUAGCUGGUCUGAGAGGACGACCAGCCACACUGGGACUGAGACACGGCCCAGACUCCUACGGGAGGCAGCAGUGGGGAAUUUUGGACAAUGGGCGAAAGCCUGAUCCAGCAAUGCCGCGUGUGUGAAGAAGGCCUUCGGGUUGUAAAGCACUUUUGUCCGGAAAGAAAUCCUUGGUUCUAAUAUAGCCGGGGG
rnacentral:rRNA from 1 species